ensembl:lncRNA
AACACAGAGAGGCCAACUGGUUCACUAGCAUGGCUGUGGAGCAGCAGAACACAGAGAGAGGCCAACUGGUUCACUAGCAUGGCUGUGGAGCAGCAGAAAACAGAGGGAGGCCAACUGGUUCACUAGCAUGGCUGUGGAGAAGCAGAAAACAGAGGGAGGUUCACUAGCAUGGCUGUGGAGCAGCAGAAAACAGAGGGAGGCCAACUGGUUCAAUAGCAUGGCUGUGGAGCAGCAGAAAACAGAGGGAGGCCAACUUGUUCACUAGCAUGGCUGUGGAGCAGCAGAAAACAGAGGGAGGCCAACUGGUUCACUAGCAUGGAUGUGGAGCAGCAGCAAACAGA